GACGAACGCUGGCGGCGUGCUUAACACAUGCAAGUCGAACGGAAAGGCCUCUUUCGGGGGGUACUCGAGUGGCGAACGGGUGAGUAACACGUGAGUAACCUGCCCUUGACUUUGGGAUAACUUCAGGAAACUGGGGCUAAUACCGGAUAGGAGCUCCUGCUGCAUGGUGGGGGUUGGAAAGUUUCGGCGGUUGGGGAUGGACUCGCGGCUAAUCAGCUUGUUGGUGGGGUAGUGGCUUACCAAGGCUUUGACGGGUAGCCGGCCUGGGAGGGUGACCGGCACCAUGGGGCCUAGGGGAGGCCCCAGCUCCCAACGGGAGGAAGAGGGGGGAAAUAUGGCCCAUGGGUGGGAGGCCUGUGCAGCAACUGCCGGGUGCGGAAGACGGGCUUUCGGUUGGAAAACGGCUUUGGCAGUGACCAAGCUUUUUUUGACGGUAAUUGGUUAAGAAGCACCGGCUAACUACGUG
rnacentral:rRNA from 1 species